rnacentral:rRNA from 1 species
GACGAACGCUGGCGGCGUGCUUAACACAUGCAAGUCGAACGCUGAAGCCUGCAGCUUGCUGUGGGUGGAUGAGUGGCGAACGGGUGAGUAACACGUGAGUAACCUGCCCCUGACUCUGGGAUAAGCCUGGGAAACUGGGUCUAAUACCGGAUAUGACCAUUCUCCGCAUGGAGUGGUGGUGGAAAGUUUUUCGGUUGGGGAUGGGCUCGCGGCCUAUCAGCUUGUUGGUGGGGUGAUGGCCUACCAAGGCGACGACGGGUAGCCGGCCUGAGAGGGCGACCGGCCACACUGGGACUGAGACACGGCCCAGACUCCUACGGGAGGCAGCAGUGGGGAAUAUUGCACAAUGGGGGAAACCCUGAUGCAGCGACGCCGCGUGGGGGAUGACGGCCUUCGGGUUGUAAACCUCUUUCAGUGGGGAAGAAGCCUUCGGGUGACGGUACCUGCAGAAGAAGUACCGGCUAACUACGUGCCAGCCGCCGCCGUAACAC